UCUUACCUUGGGUAUUCAGGUAGUAAUGUUUCCACAAUGGUCUUAAUUUGUGUUUUCCACCUACAUCCCAAAUAGUGAACUUCAGAUUUUUAUAUUCUACAGUUUCCACAUUAAAACCUGUAUUUAAGAAAAAAAAAAAAACGUUAUUUUAAUACUGAACUUAUAUUUAUAGUGAGUGACACACCAACACAAGGUAUCUCCCCGUUUAUCACUGUGACUUACAAUUAUCUUCAAACAGCAAUAUCUAUUCUGCCCAACCAACUCCACUUCUAAUCAACCUAUGAGGGUAAUGUAUACCUUUAUCAGUUAUUAGUCCCCUAUAACUAAAAUUGGAUCCUUAGGACCUUAAAACACAAAUAUCUGCGAACUCUGUACCACUACCAUCCCCUCACCCUUAACCCUCAACAAGGUCACCACUCAUUCCUUCCCACUUGUCCCACCAAAAUUCUGUUCCUUCUUAUUAUCUCACCAUCCACAUUUCAAUCCUACAGCCACUGAAUCUUGCAUUUUCCCUCUGAAAUGCCGGUGUCUUACAGGCAG